CACGUAGGGUGCGAGCGUUUGUCCGGAAUUAUUGGGCGUAAAGAGCUCGUAGGCGGUGUGUCGCGUCGGCCGUGAAAACCUGCAGCUUAACUGUGGGCUUGCGGUCGAUACGGGCAUCACUGGAGUUCGGCAGGGGAGACUGGAAUUCCUGGUGUAGCGGUGAAAUGCGCAGAUAUCAGGAGGAACACCGGUGGCGAAGGCGGGUCUCUGGGCCGAUACUGACGCUGAGGAGCGAAAAGCGUGGGGGAGCGAACAGG
rnacentral:rRNA from 1 species